rnacentral:rRNA from 1 species
GACGAACGCUGGCGGCGUGCUUAACACAUGCAAGUCACGGGGGCUCGCAAGAGCAACCGGCGAACGGGUGCGUAACACGUGAGCAACCUGCCGAUCUGAGGGGGAUAGCCGGCCCAACGGCCGGGUAAUACCGCAUACGUUCUCGAGGGGGAGUCCUCUUGAGAAGAAACCUCCGGGGCAGAUCGAGGGGCUCGCGGCCUAUCAGCUAGUUGGUGAGGUAACGGCUCACCAAGGCAUCGACGGGUAGCUGGUCUGAGAGGAUGGCCAGCCACAUUGGGACUGAGAGACGGCCAGACUCCUACGGGAGGCAGCAGUGGGGAAUCUUGCGCAAUGGCCGAAAGGCUGACGCAGCGACGCCGCGUGU